rnacentral:rRNA from 1 species
UACAGAGGUCUCAAGCGUUGUUCGGAUUCAUUGGGCGUAAAGGGUGCGUAGGCGGCGCGGUAAGUCGGGUGUGAAAUCUCGGAGCUUAACUCCGAAACUGCAUUCGAUACUGCCGUGCUUGAGGACUGGAGAGGAGACUGGAAUUUACGGUGUAGCGGUGAAAUUCGUAGAUAUUCGCAAGAACACCAGUGGCGAAGGCGGCUCACUGGCCCGGUACUGACGCUGAGAUGCGAAAGCGUGGGGAGCAAACAGG